ACUGGAGGCCUCUCUGGGCUCCCUUGCACCUGCAUCUGGGUACCAGCGCCCUGGGGAGUCACAGAGUUCCUCUCUGAGUGUAACAGUCAGGAGGAAAGGGUGACUCAGUGCGGCUUUGGAUGUGUGAUUGUGACCGGACUCUUGAUCUUUUCUUUCCUGUCCAGGCCUAAUCUUUGACCAGAGAGAGAUAAAAAGAUAAUCCGGAAUUUUCUCAGCCCAUGGAUUUAUAGUGAGAAGCGAUGGGGGAAGAUGCCUGCCCCGGAGUCACAAAACCCCUCCACCCUGAGAUUCAGGAUGUUAGGGUUGGUGUGAAGCGCCUGGCCCAGCGCCCGCCGGGUUGAUUGUUCCAGGCUGACCAGGACCACGGCUGCUGCGAGGGCCGCAUCUCUGCGUGUGAUGGGGACAGGAGCGCCUGACGGCAGCUCCCUCUGACCUAUUGUGAACCUGAGCUUGAUCAAUGUGAAGCAGGGCCUGCUGGGUUAAAGAUGAACAAGGGCGCAGCCUGCCUGCCUGCUCUGCUCCGGGCCAUCUCUAACACCCCUGCUUGGGUUCUGUGCCUAAGGAGUUGCAUCAGGAUAUUUUGGGGCAUGUCCCUGUGCGUGCAAAUAUAAAGGGGACAGCGGCCAGUCUGUGACCAGUGACUAUGGCCAUCAUGAACAGCAGUCUCAGGGUGGAUGCUUCUGUUGUGCACAGGAAGACUGGACGUGUGCUCCUGCUAACAGCCCCGAGCUGACGGUGUCACCCCCUCCGUGUAGUUCUGCUCCGGCGGCAUCAUCGUGUUGGGCUUUGUUCUGGAAGAAGGAAUACUGCUUGAAUUCCCCAUACCACCACUGCGGGAUUCUGCUGGGGAAGAAAGAAACAGUCAUGCGAAGCCUUCCCUUCCAUGCGCUUACAGUUGAAUAAGCUGCACAAGCCACAGGCACAAUGGAGCUGUCCCGGCUGGAAACCCCAUGGCUUUCCUCAUCAGCACUCCAGGGAUUUGAAGUACAGAGAAGUUGCUGUAUAGGUCCGUGUGUGGACCAGCAGACCAGCGCCUUGCUUUCCUGAGUCAGCAGCUUCCUGGACCAUGGAGAACGUCGGAGAAGGGCCUUCUGAGAGCAGCUGGUCAUCGUCACCCCACCUGCUUAUGGAUGCAGGAGCACAGACUCAGGGUGGAGCAUGAAUGGAGGAUUGGUGAAACGCCACCAGACUUCACAUCCGGGUGUCUUUAUCAGAAGUUGUUUGGUUUUUGAAUCAAGAUCCCAGGGUACUAUGUUGCUCUAUUUCCACACAUUCUGUCUAGAUGUCUCUAGGACCUUCCUGAAGAGUGUUGGAGAAUGGAUGAGCAGUAACCAUGGCGAAACAGACAGACGAGAAAACUACUGCUCAGAGAUGGGAAGGAACUCGGAGGUCACACUGCGAUAAGUGGCAGAGAUGGACGUCCACAGGCUAAGGGCAGCUCUGGGGCACUGUCAAAAGUUGUCAGCUGAUGGGAGACUGUGAUGAAAUUGUAUAGGAGACACACAGGAGUAACACUGGACCAGAGAGAAUUCAACACCUUGUUCCAAAAGAC